GAUAAACGCUGGCGGCGUGCUUAACACAUGCAAGUCGAACGAAGUUUUUCCUUCGGGAGUAACUUAGUGGCGGACGGGUGAGUAACGCGUGGGUAACCUGCCCUGUCCUGGGGGACAACAGCUGGAAACGGCUGCUAAUACCGCAUAAGCCCUUAGCACUGCAUCGUGCAUAGGGAAAAGGAGCAAUCCGGUACAGGAUGGACCCGCCUCUGAUUAGCCAGUUGGCAGGGUAACGGCCUACCAAAGCGACGAACAGUAGCCGAUCUGAGAGGAUGUACGGCCACAUUGGGACUGAGACACGGCCCAGAAUCCUACGGGAGGGAGCAGUGGGGAAUAUUGCACAAUGGAGGAAACUCUGAUGCAGCGACGCCGCGUAAGUGAAGAAGUAUUUCGGUAUGUAAAGCUGUAUCAGCAGGGAAGAAAAUGACGGUACCUGACUAAGAAGCACCGGCUAAAUACGUG
rnacentral:rRNA from 1 species